rnacentral:rRNA from 1 species
UACGGAAGGCAGCAGUGGGGAAUAUUGCACAAUGGGCGCAAGCCUGAUGCAGCCAUGCCGCGUGUAUGAAGAAGGCCUUCGGGUUGUAAAGUACUUUCAGUCGUGAGGAAGGUGUUAAGGUUAAUAACCUUAGCAAUUGACGUUAGCGACAGAAGAAGCACCGGCUAACUCCGUGCCAGCAGCCGCGGUAAUACGGAGGGUGCGAGCGUUAAUCGGAAUUACUGGGCGUAAAGGGCACGCAGGCGGUUAAUUAAGUUGGAUGUGAAAUCCCCGGGCUUAACCUGGGAAUGGCAUUCAAGACUGGUUAGCUAGAGUCUUGUAGAGGGGGUAGAAUUCCAUGUGUAGCGGUGAAAUGCGUAGAGAUGUGGAGGAAUACCGGUGGGCGAAGGCGGCCCCUGGGACAAAGACUGACGCUCAUGUGCGAAAGCGUGGGGA